GCAAUCUCGGUCGUCUAAGGGUCCGACCAAAUCGAGGAAGGUGGCUGAUUCCAACUUGGAUUCCUCAGGUCCAAGAUCUUCUCCCUCUCGCCCGAACUUAUCAAGAUAAAGGGAGAGUUUGCCUGGAUCACCACUGGAUUCUGAUGGUUGGUAGAAGUCAACCAAGUUUGCCUAGUGGUGAUCACUAGAGAAGCCCAGGAGUGAUUUGGGAUCAGGCCGAGUCGAGGUGGCCGAG
rnacentral:lncRNA from 1 species